rnacentral:tRNA from 1 species
CAUUAAGUGACUGAAAGUAAGUAAUGGUCUCUUAAACCAAUUUAUAAUGGAUAACAAACAUUCUUAAUGA